GUAAGGGCUAAAUGAGAUCAUAGACCCAGCACAGUAUCUGAUCCAUAAUAACUGCUGCAAAACAAUAGCAGCUAUUACUGCAAGGAGGGCAACGCCAACUUCACCCCGUCCCCAGGUGAUCCAGGCUUCUUCCAGAAACCUGCAGAAACGUCACGUCAGAGUUUUUAAUUCAUCGCCCAGUCUGGAUUAAUAAUGCCAUUGGUCUUCGAGAUUUUAACACUGGAGCAUAGAGGAGGUCAGUCUCUACUGACUGCUGAACAUCCAACACGUGACACCCAGGAGUUGUCUACCACCAUGUUUUGGACUAAGGGAAAAAAGCAGAAUUCAGAAAAAUGCAACAUCAUGGAAGUUCCAGGAUGUCUGAAACCAGAGCACUGUAGCCACAAACAUCAGAACACAAACACACUGUUCUCCAGGAUGGCCUGCUUGGCCAGCCUCCCCCACCAUACUACUGCAGCCUCACCAGCCAGGUAUGGGAACCCUUACAAAGAGGCCACAGGGACUGCCAACAAUCUCUUGAGGGACAGCCAUAAGAAGCAUCUAUCGUUAGGCAACCAGACUAUAUGGUCAGUCACUGUGAAUCUUUGGUAAAGUGAGUGGCCACUGCUAAAUAGUCUCACUCACCCAAGGCAUUUUUCCCCAAACAUGUUCCUUAGAACACCAGUUACAUAAAAUACUCCAUUUAAAAAAAAACAAAAAAUAAAAAAAAACAUGGUUUUUAUGUCCUCCCCUCUUGCAGAGUCACUGAAAUUAAAGCCUGUAAGAAGCUGUCAGAUGAAAAAAUCUGUUUCUCCCUGUUGAGAGUUGAAUUGUAUUCCCCCCAAAUAGAUAUGUUCAAGUCCUAACCCCUGCUACCUGUAAAUGUGACCUUAUUUGGAAAUAGAGUCUUUGCAGAUGUAAUCAAGUUAAAAUGAGAUCAUACUGGAGUAGGUUGUCCCUAAAUCCAAUGAGUAGUGUCCUUAUAAGUGGAGAAGAAAAAAGAUACAGACACACAGGGGGAAUAUCAUGGGAAGAAAGAGGCAGAGAUUGGAGUGAUGCAGCUCCAAGCCAAGGAAUGCCAAGGAUUCUGGCAGCCACCAGAAGCCAGGAGAAGGCAUGGAACACAUUCUCCCUCUGAGCCCCAAGAAGGAGCCAGCCCUGCUGACACUUUGAUUUUGGACUCCCAGCCUCCAGAACUGUAAGAGAAUACAUUUCUCUUGUUUUAAGCCACUUAGUUUAUUGUGCUUUCUUGUGGCAGCCCUAGGAAGCUAAUACACUCCUUUGUUAAUACAGCAGAUCCUUGAAUAACAUCAUUUUGUGCAAGAUCGUUUCAUGAUAACAUUGAUGAGUCCAGGCAUGGUGGCUCAUGCCCGUAAUUCCAACACUCGGGGAGGCCAAGGCAGGAGGAUUGCUUGAGCCCAGGAGUUUG
rnacentral:lncRNA from 1 species